GGCCAACAUGAAUGGGCUGGGAA
rnacentral:piRNA from 1 species